AUUGAACGCUGGCGGCAGGCCUAACACAUGCAAGUCGAGCGAGCGGCGGACGGGUGAGUAAUGUAUGGGGAUCUGCCUGAUGGAGGGGGAUAACUACUGGAAACGGUAGCUAAUACCGCAUACCAUCAGAUGAACCCAUAUGGGAUUAGCUUGUGGGUGGGGUAACGGCUCACCUAGGCGACGAUCCCUAGCUGGUCUGAGAGGAUGAUCAGCCAAACUGGGACUGAGACACGGCCCAGACUCCUACGGGAGGCAGCAGGGGGGAAUAUUGCACAAUGGGCGCAAGCCUGAUGCAGCCAUGCCGCGUGUAUGAAGAAGGCCUUAGGGUUGUAAAGUACUUUCAGCGGGGAGGCGUUACCGACAGAAGAAGCACCGGCUAACUCCGUGCCAGCAGCCGCGGUAAUUC
rnacentral:rRNA from 1 species